GGCCGACUCGCCUGUGCUCCCAGCCCCAGGCCCCCGGCUUGGAGAAUGGGCCUUGGCAACGCAAUGCUGGCUGGAAACACUCAUUCGCCGGCCCAGGCAUUUUGCUUUCUUUUCCCCAGGAUUGGAGGAGAUUGAGAAUGAUCAAGAAACUGAAUUUAUGAAUGCAAACAUCCACAGUGACCAUAUGAAAAACCCCAAAAAAGUCAAGAGCAAUUCAUGUCUUGUGAAACAUACUGCUUGUGGGUAAAAGUGCAGUAUUUCCAGAUUGUCUCACCUGGCCUUAGUGUAUCUCUGUAUCAAUAGAUGCUUCUAAGAGGUGAAGAGAAGUGGCCCACCUCCAUAUCAAUAGGUGAUUAUAAGGGGAAGUGAGGGCAUAUCUGGACCAGAGAGGUUGGCUGGGGUCCCUUUUUCAGCCAGGUCACGAAAGACGCAGGUGAGCAAAAGUGGACAACUGUUUGUAGGCAACAAAUGAGUUUCUUCCACCUUAUUUCUCCCUUUGGCUGAUUUCUGCUUCAAAGACAUGGGAAGGUGAAAAUGAAGAGACAUUGUGAAAUUGGACCAAAACAAAUAUGGUUUUGCAUUCUGGAGCAGGAGAUUCUUGGAAGGUGAUGACUGGAAGAUAGCUCCCUUCCUUCUACCACCAACUCUCGUGUGUGUAUUCUUCCUGAGUCAGAUGCAUGCUGCUGCCCACGGGAGCCUGUGUACCAGUGAGCCCAUCGAUUCUUGUUAUUUAAUAAUGGAAAUAUUGUCAGUAAUUUUCUGAUUGUGAAAAUGAUCCUUACAUAUAUGAAGACUGAAACAACACAGAAGACAGUGAGCUGCUCUGCCAGUUUUGGAGGCUAGAAGUCCAAGAUCAAGGUGCCAUCAGGGUUGGUUUGCAGUGAGAACAUUCUGCCUGGCUUGAAAGUGGCCUCCUUCUCCCUGUGUCUUCACAUGGGCUUUUACCUGUCAGGUGUGGAGAAAGAACCUUCGUCUCCCUCUUCUUACAGGGACACACCAGUCCUUUCAGAUUAGGGCCCCACCCUUAUGACCUCAUUAAAUAUAAUUACCUCCCUAAAGGUUCUGUUUCCAAAUACAUUCACACUGGGGGUUAGCAGUUCAAUUUUGUACGGGGCACAGUUCAGUCCGUUACAAUCCCUAAACUGUUGGAUGAAGUCAGAACAAAGGUAUGUUGGCACUGGCUUGCACAGGCUCACAAGCACCAACUGUGAGCAUCUCUUCCCAACUUUGCCUUCAGUGACUUGAAAUCUGCUUCAGUGGGAGUAUUGAUACCAUGAAAAUCAUCAACCACCACCUUUCAGAAUCAUCUAAGAUAUCACCAAAUAUAUAAUACAUGUAUAAUAAUCACUACUGUAUAACAAAAGAAGUAAAUAAAAAUUAGUGCUCGUAAAUUUUCUGUGUAUAUAUACAGGCAUACAUUCUCGCUUUGAUUAUAUUGUGUAUUUGUAUAUAUAUGUAUAAAUACAUCUUUUUCUCUUUGAUUAAAUAUACUUUGAAAACUAUGUUUAACUUGAUUAAUGAAAUGGAUUGUGCAAAUGACAACUAACAAGGCGAUUGUAUUGGCUUUUCCCAGUAUUUAAUUAUACAAAAUUUCAAAUAUACAGAAAAGUUAGAAGAUGUUUAUAGUCAACCCGCAAGUACCUGUUACCUAGAUUUUACGAUGACUGUUUUACUAUACUUGCCUCAUCAUAUAUCCAUCCAUCUCUCUACACAUCAAUCAACACUUCUUCAUUUUUGAUGCAUUUCACAGUAAAUUGAAAACCAAUACGUUUUCAUUAGAUUUCAGCAUGCUGUGAUUAUUGUCUGAUAUUUGCAUUGGGUUCCUUGUUUUCUUUAAAGGUAAAAUUUCCAUACAGUAAAAUGCAUAAGUCAUAAGCAUAUCAUGUGAUGAGUUCUCACACAUGUAUUUACCUGUGUAACCUAGACAAGUUCCAAGAUAUUAAACAUUAGCCUCAGACCAGAAAGCUUCCUCAGGCCCCAUCCAAGUAAAUUCCCAUCGAACCCAUUACUGAAAACAGCUCUUCUGAUUUUUUUUUUCUUACUAUAAAACAUAUUCUCCUGUAUAUAGAACCUACAGAAGAAGUCACACAGUAUGUACUCUAGGCAUGGAGCUUUUUUUAUUGAGUAGAAUAUUUUUUAGAUUAGUAUGUGGUGGUGCACAUACCACUGAUUCAUUCUUCAUUGCUAUAAAGUGUUCCAUUGUAUGACUAUACUACCAAUUCCUUUAUCCAUUGUUUUUUCAUGGAAACCCAAGCUAUUUCCAGGCUUUGCCUAAUAUGAGUAAAGCAACUAUAAAUAUUUUAUGCAAGUGUUUCUUGGACAUGUGUUUUCAUUUCUCUUGGAUAAAUACUGAGGAAUUGAAUUGCAGUGUCAAAAAUAAACAUAUGAUUAUAUUCAUAAAAAUUUCCAGAGCUUCUUCCAAUCUGGUUGUACCAUAUUACAUUGCCAUUAACAGUAUAUCAGAAUUACAACUGCUCCACAUUCUCUCUGACAUUUAGUUGGGUCAAUCUUUUUCAUUUUAAUGAUUCUAAUGAGAUACAUGAGUGUGUCUUCUUGUGAUUUUAAUAGAAAUUUUCUUGUUAUGAGCAAUUGAGUAGUUUUUCAUGUGCUUAUUGGUCAUUUGUAUCUGUUCCUUUGUCAAAUGUUGACAAAUUUUGAUCACUUUUUGAUUUUUUUUGUCUUUUAAUUAUUUUGUUAUGAGGUUUCUAAUAUAUUGUGGAUAGCAGCCUUCUGUCAGAUAUAUGUUCAUAAAUAGUUCUUUCCUAUCUUUGGUAAUCUAUUCAUUUUUAAAUGUCUUUUGAUGAUAGAAGUUCUUACUUUUCAUGACGUCUAAUUUGUCAUUUUUUUCUUUUAUGGUUGUUGCUUUCUUAGUUCUGCCUAUGAAACCUUUGCUUAGCUCCAAGUUAUAAAAAUAUUAUAUAUCAUAUUUGUUUUUCUAAAGUUCUAUAGAUGUAGCUGAUAUAUUUUAGUUCAUGAUAUAGUGUGAGUUAAAUUUUGUAUAUGGUUUUAGACAAGUUUGAAUUAUUCAUGUAUGGAUAUCCAGUUGUUCCAGGCCAUUUGUUGAAAAGACUUUUCUAUCCCCAUUGAAUUCCUUUGGCACCUCUGUCAAAAACUGAUCUGCUACCAACAUGUGAUUGUAUUUCUGGACUCCAUUCUGUUGCAAUGAUCUGUUUAUCAAUCCUAUGCUAGUUCCACUGUCUUGGUUACUAUGGCUUUACUGUGUGUCUUGAGGUUAGCCAAUGAAAUCUUCCAACAUUGUUCUUUUUCAAGAUUUCUUUAGAAUUCUAGGUCAUUUGUGCCUUUAUAUCAACAUUAGAAUCAAGUUCUACAAAAGGACAUGCUUGGAUUGUGCUGGGAUUGCACUGAAUCUAUAGAUCAAUUUGGUGUCAAUUGAUACCUUAACAAUUUUAGGUCUUCAAAUCAAUUAACUCCAUUAAACGAACUCCAUUUACUUAGGUCUUCUUUAUUAUCUUUCAACAAAUAUUGUAAUUUUCGGAGUGAAUGUCUCCUAUACCCUUUGUUAAACUUAUUUCCAAAUAUUUUGAUGCCAGUAUAAAUGGAAUUAUUUCUGUA